UACGUAGGGUGCGAGCGUUGUCCGGAAUUAUUGGGCGUAAAGAGCUCGUAGGCGGUUUGUCGCGUCUGCUGUGAAAUCCCAGGGCUUAACCCUGGGCCUGCAGUGGGUACGGGCAAACUAGAGUGCGGUAGGGGGGAUCGGAAUUCCUGGUGUAGCGGUGAAAUGCGCAGAUAUCAGGAGGAACACCGGUGGCGAAGGCGGAUCUCUGGGCCAUUACUGACGCUGAGGAGCGGAAGCGUGGGGAGCGAACAGG
rnacentral:rRNA from 1 species